rnacentral:rRNA from 1 species
UACGGAGGGUGCGAGCGUUGUCCGGAAUCACUGGGCGUAAAGGGCGUGUAGGCGGUCCGCUAAGUCUGAUGUGAAAGCCCGGGGCUCACCCCCGGAAGGGCAUUGGAAACUGACGGACUCGAGUCCCGAAGAGGAGGGUGGAAUUCCUGGUGUAGCGGUGAAAUGCGUAGAUAUCAGGAGGAACACCGGUGGCGAAGGCGGCCCUCUGGACGGUGACUGACGCUGAGACGCGAAAGCGUGGGGAGCAAACAGG